rnacentral:lncRNA from 1 species
GCAGACGUCCCUUCCCCAGCCAGGCUGCCACCUCGCAGUUCAAUCUCAGACUGCUGUGCUAGCAGUGGGGAAGGCUCCGUGGGCAUGGAAACUGCCGAGCCAGGCACAGUAGAGAAUCACCUUGUCUGCCGGUUGCUAAGACCUUUGGAAAAGUGCAGUAUUUGGGUGAGAGUGUCCUAUUUUUCCAGGUACAGUCUGUCACGUCUUCCCUUGGCUAGGAAAGGGAAAUCCCCCGACCCCUUACACUUUCCGGGUGAGGCAACGCCCCACUCUGCUUCAGCUCACCCUCCAUGGGCUGCACUCACCUUCCAACCAGUCUCAAUGAGAUGAACCAGGUACCUCAGUUGGAAAUGCAGAAAUCACCCGUCUUCUGCGUCAAUCACGCUGAGAACUGCAGACCAGAGCUGUUCCUAUUUGGCCAUCUUGGAACCGGUCUGAGUCUGUUUUAGCCAGAUCAAGUACUUGUGAGAGAACCUUUGUGGGAGCGCAGAAGUCCAGCAGAGAGACCCUAGCACUUUAUUUGGACCAAAAAAUAAAUAAUAAAUAAAUAAAUAAAUAAAUCCAAAACUAGAUGCAUUAAAGAAGGUUUAGACUUCUCCUAUGGAGAAUGCAGCAAGAAAAUACCAUCUUGAAGCAGAGAGCAGCGCUCAUCAGGCAUCAGUCCUUCUGGAGCCUUGAUCUUGGACCUCCCAGCUCCAAAAUAAUAAGUAAUAAAUUGUUAUUGCUUAUAAAUU